ensembl:misc_RNA Metazoa_SRP Metazoan signal recognition particle RNA
GCCGGGUGUGGUGGCACGCGCCUGUAGUCCUAGCUACUUGGGAGGCUGAGGCAGGAGAAUCGCUUGAACCCAGGAGGCGGAGGUUGCAGUGAGCUGAGAUCGCGCCACUGCACUCCAGCCUGGGUGACAGAGCAAGAUUCUGUCUCAA